rnacentral:miRNA from 1 species
AGAGGCUUAUAGCUCCAAGCCCUGAAAUAGAGGAGUUUAUGGCUUCAGGCUCUGUAGACCAGAG